rnacentral:rRNA from 1 species
UACAGAGGGUGCGAGCGUUAAUCGGAAUUACUGGGCGUAAAGCGCGCGUAGGCGGCUUUGCAAGUCGGGUGUGAAAUCCCCAGGCUUAACCUGGGAACUGCAUUCGAGACUGCAUUGCUAGAGUAUGGGAGAGGGAAGUGGAAUUUCCGGUGUAGCGGUGAAAUGCGUAGAUAUCGGAAGGAACACCAAUGGCGAAAGCAGGUAACUGGACUAUUACUGACACUCAGCUGCGAAAGCUAGGGGAGCAAACAGG